UCAGGCCUUCCUACCGCGUGGAGCUGUGGGUACUGCCUAGGCAGCCUCUCGGCUUCUGGGAAGUUCUCUGCUUCUCUGAGCCCCAGUUUGCCCAGCUGCAAAAUGAAAAGAAGUUGAAACGGGAAUUGAGACACUCCAGGAGCCGGCCGGCAGCUGACUCAGCGCCCCACCCUGAGGUUACACCCUUGACUCUUUGCACCACCCAGAGGAAAGAAACCAACAUAGAGGGCUGGGUGGCUGCUGUUUGGAAACCGCGAUCCUGUGUGGCGCCCCGUGCAAUCACUCCACGUGAGGCGGUGGGCACAGUCUAAUAAGUACCCCUGCGUCCGUGGACCCAGACAGAAGUGGGCAUGUGCCACGUGGGUUUGUCCUUCUGUCCAGGGGGAGAUCCUGUGUAUAGAAAGCUCGGUCUCAGCCCUGUGUCCCUCUUCCCCCCGAGACUUUCCAAUUGCUGACGGUUAAGAAUUGAAGUUUUGAAGUCACACUUAGCUGGUUUGAGUCUGGGUUUAGCCUGGAGUUGAAGUCGGGGGCACACAUGUUAAAAUAGCACAGCAUGUAAGAGGAAGUGCAAAGAUGCUAAGGCAGCCCUUCCCCGUCGGUCUUAACCCUGAAGGCGAAGGGACUUGGCCAAGGACAAGGCACUCAGGUGGCCCAGCCGGCUCUCCUCCCAUUUGCCCUAUCCAAAUGGGACAUGCUAGGGAAUUAAGAGGGGCACUCCAAAGACCCCUCCCGGGUUAUCACCACCUCCCAACCCUCUCCACCCCUCUCCCUAACCUCUCACACCCCCCACCUCACCCCACUCCCAACCAAUGUCGCUGGGGAAGAGAAGAUGUGCCUUUUGUCUACACUGCCACUGCUGGUUAGUAACCCCCUAGAUUGCCAGGUUCUCCAGCUGGUGGUUGGAUAGCCAGGCUUCUUGCUAUGGCCCCACCCCUACCUCCACCACUGUGGGCCCUUCCCCCACUCACCCCUACGGGGUAGUUUCCACGUUUCACUCCCUCUCAGCCUUGGUUUCCCCAUCUAUAAAAUGAGAGGGUGGGACUACAUUAAAGACUUCCAGUUGUACACCCCACCCCAUCCCAUUCUUAGGUUCCCGUGGAAUGCUUCAGGAAACUGCUGGGGUGCAGUGGGGGUAGGGGAUGGUUUAAGUCCCAGAGCAGCUCCGAUUUUAAAGGUUUAUAAAUUUAUAUGAAAAGUUUAUAUGUUGUGGCUCCGUGUAAGAUUAUUCUAUCACUCAGGAUAAGAUGUAAACUUUGCACUUUGCCCCACAUUCCUCAUCUUUCCCCAUCCUCCUGUUCACUCACUGCUCCAGGCACAGUGGCCUUGUAGUUAUUUUGCAAACCCAGGAAGUUCAUCGUCACCUCUUUGGUGACUCUGCUUGUGGUGCUCUUUCCUGACAUCUGUUCAUCAAGGAUCCAGUUCAAAUGUUGCCUCUCUCGAGCAGCCUUUGCUGUCCCCCCUCUUCUAAAGGCACCCAUGCAAUCCCUUUAUAGACUGUCAAUCUGUAUUCUUAUUAUGUGUUUAUUUUCUAUUUCGCCCACUAGGCAGUGGCCACAAGGCCCAAGACCUUGACUGUCCUGUCCCCAUGUCUCCACACCUGAAGCUGAGCAUAGGCUGGGUGGACAUCUGUUGAACGACUCAAUGAGUGAGUGAAUGAACAGAGAAGGCUUGAAUUUUAUGAUAAAGCCAGCCUGGUGAAGACCACCAGGGACACAGGACAAGCAAAGACCUGUAUCUCACAAACACUUGUUGAGAUAAGGAAGUUCAGCUGUAGUUCAGAGCCACUGAGGUCCUUGGGGCCACACCAGAGCAGAGAACAUCCCCCAAGCCCUCUGGAAUGUGCCCAGGGGCCCCUCCACUCCUGACCUUCUGGGAUCCUUUCAGCCCCUCCUCAGGAUCUGCUGUCCCCGCUCAGCCCCGGCACCUCUCAACAUCUCAGAAGAGCCAGCACGGGGGCCCUCCUGCUCGGCCUGUCCCGCUCACCUCCUCGAUCCAGUCAUUGAAGGCCGAGACUCGUGUGAACACCGUGGGCUUCUUGAGAGUGUUGCAGCCGAAGGCAGAAACGAAGCUGGUCACACCGUGGACCUGCCAGGAGCCGUCUGCUGUGGGGCAGUUAAGGGGUCCUCCGGAGUCACCCUGGAAUUGCCAGAGAGCGGUGGGGAGUCGAGCCGCCAUGUGUGGGACUGAAGGAAUUGGUUGUGGCUCUGGGGAUUCUGAGAAACCCCUGUGUUACUUGACCUCUCCAAGCCCCAGUUGGCCUGUUUGUAACAGACUAACAUCUGUCCGACCGGAUCUUGUAGGAAUUAAGCGAGAUGAUAAAUAUAUGAUCUUAGCACAACCCCUAGCAGAGAGAAAGCAAUCAAUAAAGGGUAGUUCCCAUAGUGUUA